GCCGGCGUCUGGCAUGGGAGGGGCUGUGGAGAGCGAGGAAGAAGCAUUUUUGGCUGUGAAUCCAGGCACCUCUGGAGUUAGAAACACAAGUUCUUUGCUCUGAGAAUGUUGAUGCUUUGGAUAAAUGAUUGUGACAGGGGCCGUUCCCACUGUCCCCUCCCUCAAGUACGGUGGUUCCUUCCACCAACUAUUUAUUCUUUUCCUCAACCCGCUCCUCACUACGGUGUUUACUUUCGUGGUGGCAAUUCCAAACUUAGCAGAUAGCUGACUCCAAAGCGGUUCCCAAAAAACACCGUAAGGGAACCUAAAGGUAGUCAGCCCAAACCUCUGAUUUUAUGAUUCACGAAAUGGAAAAUAAACAAAUGCCUCCUUUGCUUUUCCUUCAUCUGAUUAUGAACGCACCUGAUCCACAGGGAAACAUUUCAAUCAAUGAGUGUGUGUAAAUUAUGUGCAUCACUACUAUACAUAAUAGGCACAAUUUUUCUUAACAUUAGUGAAUAUGUGUAUUUACACCACACAGCAACCACAGUGAAUGAAAUUACUUCUUAUUCAUGUGUAGAAGUAAAAAAAAAAUACUGAUUUACAUGAAUUCAGUCAAAGAAAUUUAGCUCUGGUGUCUGCGAUUAUCUUUCUGUGACUGGAUUACACAACAAGCUAAUCUCUCCCGAAAUAGCUACUAUGUUACAGCCCCCCACCCCACAUCUCUUUCCAUUUCUCUUCAAAAAUGCAUAGAAAAUGUCAGUCAAGUUUCUGUGGGACUUUAAAUAAUUGAAAAGAGAGACAUAUUAUGUCCCAGUGAAUCACUUGAUUUUGCUGUAGCCUUUUAUAUUCUCUGUGGAUAUUCUGUAUAUUAAUGUAAAAAUAAAACUUCUCUGGAUUCCUUAAUGUUUUCCAUGAAUAUUAAUCCUGUGUUCCCCCCCAAUCAGAAGAGAGUAAAAAACAGGAAUUAAAACUUCCUCCUGGGACUGAAAUACCCUCACAAAGAGAAGCAAAUCAGUGACUGAAGGUCAAUAGAGACCAUCAAGGUAUGAAAAGGAAGGAAUCGGAUUUUCCAUACUGGAAACGGUGGAGAAAGUGCAAAUAGUGCCUCUGUAGAUCCUGGAUGCGACGAUGCCCUGUGCUCUUCCUCCUCUCACAGUCCUACAGGGUCUUGAAAUCGGAAAUGGAAUAGCAUUCUGCCCAGUUUUCACAUCAUCUACCCUUUUGGAAAAGUAUGCAGGUGUCAUAUCUUUGAAGGAGCUA
rnacentral:lncRNA from 1 species